ACGCACGCUGGCGGCGUGCCUAAUCCAUGCAAGUUGAGCGAUGAAGAUUGGUGCUUGCCCCAAUUUGAAGAGCAGCGAACGGGUGAGUAACGCGUGGGGAAUCUGCCUUUGAGCGGGGGACAACAUUUGGAAACGAAUGCUAAUACCGCAUAACAACUUUAAACAUAAGUUUUAAGUUUGAAAGAUGCAAUUGCAUCACUCAAAGAUGAUCCCGCGUUGUAUUAGCUAGUUGGUGAGGUAAAGGCUCACCAAGGCGAUGAUACAUAGCCGACCUGAGAGGGUGAUCGGCCACAUUGGGACUGAGACACGGCCCAAACUCCUACGGGAGGCAGCAGUAGGGAAUCUUCGGCAAUGGACGAAAGUCUGACCGAGCAACGCCGCGUGAGUGAAGAAGGUUUUCGGAUCGUAAAACUCUGUUGGUAGAGAAGAACGUUGGUGAGAGUGGAAAGCUCAUCAAGUGACGGUAACUACCCAGAAAGGGACGGCUAACUACGUG
rnacentral:rRNA from 1 species